rnacentral:rRNA from 1 species
AGCAGCCGCGGUAAUUCCAGCUCCAAUAGCGUAUAUUAAAGUUGUUGCAGUUAAAAAGCUCGUAGUUGAAUUUCGGGGUCAGUAGGUUGGUCAUGCCUUCGGUAUGUACUGGUCUCACUGAUUCCUCCCUCUUGAAGAACUGUAAUGUCAUUAAUUUGGUGUUGCGGGGAAACAGGACUGUUACUUUGAAAAAAUUAGAGUGUUUAAAGCAGGCUCACGCUUGAAUACAUUAGCAUGGAAUAAUGAAAUAGGACGUUCGAUCCUAUUUUGUUGGUUUCUAGGAUUGGCGUAAUGAUUAAUAGGGAUAGUUGGGGGCAUUAGUAUUCAAUUGUCAGAGGUGAAAUUCUUGGAUUUAUUGAAGACUAACUACUGCGAAAGCAUUUGCCAAGGAUGUUUUCAUUAAUCAAGAACGAAAGUUAGGGGAUCGAAGACGAUCAGAUACCGUCGUAGUCUUAACCAUAAACUAUGCCGACUAGGGAUCGGAUGAUGUUAAUUUUUAAUGACUCAUUCGGCGCCUUAA